rnacentral:rRNA from 1 species
UACGAGGGGGGCGAGCGUUGUUCGGAAUUAUUGGGCGUAAAGGGUGCGUAGGCGGUUCCGCAAGUCCUGUGUGAAAUCUUCGGGCUCAACUCGAAGUCUGCACGGGAAACUGCGGGGCUUGAGUGUGGGAGAGGUGAGUGGAAUUCCCGGUGUAGCGGUGAAAUGCGUAGAUAUCGGAAAGAACAUCAGUGGCGAAGGCGGCGCGCUGGACCGAUACUGACACUGAGGCGCGAAAGCGUGGGGAGCAAACAGG